AAACUGAAGAGUUUGAUCCUGGCUCAGAUUGAACGCUGGCGGCAUGCCUUACACAUGCAAGUCGAACGGCAGCACGGGUGCUUGCACCUGGUGGCGAGUGGCGAACGGGUGAGUAAUACAUCGGAACAUGUCCUGUAGUGGGGGAUAGCCCGGCGAAAGCCGGAUUAAUACCGCAUACGAUCCAUGGAUGAAAGCGGGGGACCUUCGGGCCUCGCGCUAUAGGGUUGGCCGAUGGCUGAUUAGCUAGUUGGUGGGGUAAAGGCCUACCAAGGCGACGAUCAGUAGCUGGUCUGAGAGGACGACCAGCCACACUGGGACUGAGACACGGCCCAGACUCCUACGGGAGGCAGCAGUGGGGAAUUUUGGACAAUGGGCGAAAGCCUGAUCCAGCAAUGCCGCGUGUGUGAAGAAGGCCUUCGGGUUGUAAAGCACUUUUGUCCGGAAAGAAAUCCUUGGUUCUAAUAUAGCCGGGGGAUGACGGUACCGGAAGAAUAAGCACCGGCUAACUACGUGCCAGCAGCCGCGGUAAUACGUAGGGUGCGAGCGUUAAUCGGAAUUACUGGGCGUAAAGCGUGCGCAGGCGGUUUGUUAAGACCGAUGUGAAAUCCCCGGGCUCAACCUGGGAACUGCAUUGGUGACUGGCAAGCUAGAGUAUGGCAGAGGGGGGUAGAAUUCCACGUGUAGCAGUGAAAUGCGUAGAGAUGUGGAGGAAUACCGAUGGCGAAGGCAGCCCCCUGGGCCAAUACUGACGCUCAUGCACGAAAGCGUGGGG
rnacentral:rRNA from 1 species